AGUUUUUGAAAUGUAAGGCCUUUGAAUAAGACAAAAGGCUGCCUCAUCGCUAACUUUGCAACAGUGCCCACGAAAGCACACUUGCUGUGAACUCGAAGAGUAGGGCGGGACACGUGGUAUCCUGUCUGAAUAUGGGGGGACCAUCCUCCAAGGCUAAAUACUCCUGACUGACCGAUAGUGAACCAGUACCGUGAGGGAAAGGCGAAAAGAACCCCGGCGAGGGGAGUGAAAAAGAACCUGAAACCGUGUACGUACAAGCAGUGGGAGCCUCUUUAUGGGGUGACUGCGUACCUUUUGUAUAAUGGGUCAGCGACUUAUAUUCUGUAGCAAGGUUAACCGUAUAGGGGAGCCGAAGGGAAACCGAGUCUUAACUGGGCGUUAAGUUGCAGGGUAUAGACCCGAAACCCGGUGAUCUAGCCAUGGGCAGGUUGAAGGUUGGGUAACACUAACUGGAGGACCGAACCGACUAAUGUUGAAAAAUUAGCGGAUGACCUGUGGCUGGGGGUGAAAGGCCAAUCAAACCGGGAGAUAGCUGGUUCUCCCCGAAAGCUAUUUAGGUAGCGCCUCGUGAACUCAUCUUCGGGGGUAGAGCACUGUUUCGGCUAGGGGGCCAUCCCGGCUUACCAACCCGAUGCAAACUACGAAUACCGAAGAAUGUUAUCACGGGAGACACACGGCGGGUGCUAACGUCCGUCGUGAAGAGGGAAACAACCCAGACCGCCAGCUAAGGUCCCAAAGUCAUGGUUAAGUGGGAAACGAUGUGGGAAGGCACAGACAGCCAGGAUGUUGGCUUAGAAGCAGCCAUCAUUUAAAGAAAGCGUAAUAGCUCACUGGUCGAGUCGGCCUGCGCGGAAGAUGUAACGGGGCUAAACCAUGCACCGAAGCUGCGGCAGCGACACUAUGUGUUGUUGGGUAGGGGAGCGUUCUGUAAGCCGUUGAAGGUGGCCUGUGAGGGUUGCUGGAGGUAUCAGAAGUGCGAAUGCUGACAUAAGUAACGAUAAAGCGGGUGAAAAGCCCGCUCGCCGGAAGACCAAGGGUUCCUGUCCAACGUUAAUCGGGGCAGGGUGAGUCGACCCCUAAGGCGAGGCCGAAAGGCGUAGUCGAUGGGAAACAGGUUAAUAUUCCUGUACUUGGUGUUACUGCGAAGGGGGGACGGAGAAGGCUAUGUCAGCCGGGCGACGGUUGUCCCGGUUUAAGCAUGUAGGCGGAGGUUCCAGGUAAAUCCGGUACCUUAUUAACGCUGAGGUGUGAUGACGAGGCACUACGGUGCUGAAGUGAUAAAUGCCCUGCUUCCAGGAAAAGCCUCUAAGCAUCAGGUAACACGAAAUCGUACCCCAAACCGACACAGGUGGUCAGGUAGAGAAUACCAAGGCGCUUGAGAGAACUCGGGUGAAGGAACUAGGCAAAAUGGUGCCGUAACUUCGGGAGAAGGCACGCUGAUGUGUAGGUGAAGCCCCUGCGGGCGGAGCUGAAAUCAGUCGAAGAUACCAGCUGGCUGCAACUGUUUAUUAAAAACACAGCACUGUGCAAACACGAAAGUGGACGUAUACGGUGUGACGCCUGCCCGGUGCCGGAAGGUUAAUUGAUGGGGUUAGCGGCAACGCGAAGCUCUUGAUCGAAGCCCCGGUAAACGGCGGCCGUAACUAUAACGGUCCUAAGGUAGCGAAAUUCCUUGUCGGGUAAGUUCCGACCUGCACGAAUGGCGUAAUGAUGGCCAGGCUGUCUCCACCCGAGACUCAGUGAAAUUGAACUCGCUGUGAAGAUGCAGUGUACCCGCGGCAAGACGGAAAGACCCCGUGAACCUUUACUAUAGCUUGACACUGAACACUGGUCCUUGAUGUGUAGGAUAGGUGGGAGGCUUUGAAGCGUGGACGCCAGUCUGCGUGGAGCCAACCUUGAAAUACCACCCUUUAAUGGCUGGUGUUCUAACGUAGACCCGUAAUCCGGGUUGCGGACAGUGUCUGGUGGGUAGUUUGACUGGGGCGGUCUCCUCCCAAAGAGUAACGGAGGAGCACGAAGGUUGGCUAAUCCUGGUCGGACAUCAGGAGGUUAGUGCAAUGGCAUAAGCCAGCUUGACUGCGAGCGUGACGGCGCGAGCAGGUGCGAAAGCAGGUCAUAGUGAUCCGGUGGUUCUGAAUGGAAGGGCCAUCGCUCAACGGAUAAAAGGUACUCCGGGGAUAACAGGCUGAUACCGCCCAAGAGUUCAUAUCGACGGCGGUGUUUGGCACCUCGAUGUCGGCUCAUCACAUCCUGGGGCUGAAGUAGGUCCCAAGGGUAUGGCUGUUCGCCAUUUAAAGUGGUACGCGAGCUGGGUUUAGAACGUCGUGAGACAGUUCGGUCCCUAUCUGCCGUGGGCGCUGGAGAAUUGAGGGGGGCUGCUCCUAGUACGAGAGGACCGGAGUGGACGCAUCACUGGUGUUCGGGUUGUCAUGCCAAUGGCACUGCCCGGUAGCUAAAUGCGGAAGAGAUAAGUGCUGAAAGCAUCUAAGCACGAAACUUGCCCCGAGAUGAGUUCUCCCUGAGACCUUGA
rnacentral:rRNA from 1 species